ACGCUCGACACCUACGGGACAGCAGUGGGGAAUGUUGCACAAUGGGGGAAACCCUGAUGCAGCGACGCCGCGUGAGCGAAGAAGUAUUUCGGUAUGUAAAGCUCUAUCAGCAGGGAAGAAACUGACGGUACCUGACUAAGAAGCACCGGCUAAAUACGUGCCAGCAGCCACGGUAAUCUGAGCGGGCUGGCAAGGC
rnacentral:rRNA from 1 species